rnacentral:rRNA from 1 species
AACGAACGCUGGCGGCAUGCCUAACACAUGCAAGUCGAACGAGACCUUCGGGUCUAGUGGCGCACGGGUGCGUAACGCGUGGGAACCUGCCCUUAGGUUCGGAAUAACUCCCCGAAAGGGGUGCUAAUACCGGAUAAUGUCUUCGGACCAAAGAUUUAUCGCCUUUGGAUGGGCCCGCGUUGGAUUAGCUAGUUGGUAGGGUAAAAGCCUACCAAGGCGACGAUCCAUAGCUGGUCUGAGAGGAUGAUCAGCGACACUGGGACUGAGACGCGGCCCAGACUCCUACGGGAGGAGGCAGUGGGGAAUAGUGGACAACGGGCGAAGGCCUGAUCCAGCAAUGCCGCGUGAGUGAUGAAGGCCUUAGGGUUGUAAAGCUCUUUUACCCGGGAUGAUAAUGACAGUACCGGGAGAAUAAGCCCCGGCUAACUCCGUG